rnacentral:rRNA from 1 species
GACGAACGCUGGCGGCGUGCCUAACACAUGCAAGUCGAGCGAACAGACGAGGAGCUUGUUGCUCUGACGUGUGCCGAGCGGGUGUGAGAAACGUGUGUAUACCGCACCUAUAAGACGGGGAUAACUUGGGGAAACCGGCGCAAACACCGGAUAAGAUAUUGAACCGCAUGGUUGAAUGGUAAAAGACGGUUUUGCUGUCACUUAUAGAGGCAUCCGCGCCGCAUUAGCUAGUUGGUAAGGUAACGGCCUACCAAGGCGACCAUGCGUAGCCGACGUGAGAGGGUGAUCGCCCACACUGGAGCUGAGACAGGGUCAAGACGCCUACGGGAGGCAGCAGUAGGGAAUCUUCCGCAAUGGGCGAAAGCCUGACGGAGCAGCGCCGCGCGAGUGAUGAAGGUGUUCGGAUCGUGAAACUCUGUUACUAGUGGAAAACAAAUGUGUAAGUAACUGUGCACGUCUUGACGGUACCUAAUCAGGAAGCAACGGCUAACUACGUG